GGGGAUGUAGCUUAGUGGUAGAGCAUUUGCUUAGCAUGGGUGAGGCCCUGAGUUCAAUUCUCAGUACUACCA
rnacentral:tRNA from 1 species